AAUUAAUGAGCUUGAUAAAAGCAUUAGUCUUGAAAACUAAAGAAAGAUUAAAAAUAUCUAUUAAUU
rnacentral:tRNA from 1 species